UGAGAAUGGCAGAGAAAGAAUGCCCCUGCCAUACACACUGCAACAAAAUUGUAGGACCUUGAACCUUGGGUUCGUAAUCUCACACCUGAGAAGGUUCCUCCACACUCUUGGAACUGUACACCCAUUAGAAUCCUUAAGUUAAAGCAAACCAAAGAAGUUUCUCCCCAGAAGGAGAUAGCAUCCUUGAUGUGAACAACUUUUCUCAAGAUCACAGAUCAAGACUUCUUUACUAUCAUGAGAUGUUUAUCUUUGAAUAGUUUUCCCUUGCUUAUGCCUCUGUGAACAAUAGAAGUGAAAGGGAGGGGGGUCUGUUGUGUGCACUUAUGGGGUAUACUUUUUAUUUGUGAGGGAUUUUGCAGACAGCCUUAUACAUGGAUAGCCUUCUAUCUCGAUAGAUGAAAGAUGAAGACCCAAGACCCAUGCCAUCGAAUGUCCUAACAGAACUUCUCAGAAUAAUCUGGCUUAAACUAUUUCGACACAACCUGCUUCAGAUUUAUGCGUACCUCUCGUUCACAGCUCACAUUACAAUUCAAAUAUUUUUAUGUACCUGGGAAGAGCAAGCAAUAUUUUAUGUACCUGGGAAGAGCAAGAGUUGACUGCAGAGGAGACCCCAUCAGGAUGUGUCGGAGAAAGAAGCCAGCCUCAGGCUUCCAAAGCCGGUAUUGCGGAAGGCCAGUCAGCAGGAAGGUGAAACUCCCCACCCGGGGCAGCCUCCUUCAACCUGGAGGUCUCUCUUAGCCCACGGGGGACCACAGGAUCUAACCUAGCAAAGGAGAUUUCAGUAUAAAAUUUCCCUUCCUGUUGGCCUGUCCUGAAAGAUUUCAAAAAGAUUCACAUAGAUGCUUAGGGAAUCUACGAACAAAAUCUCAGUGUCGUGUAGACAAAGACCUACUUCUCUAAGAGUGAAUGGUGUAAAAGAAGACCAAUAUGAGGAAUCGAAGCAAAUUACUUUCUUCAAAGCAGCAUCAGUGUAACUAACUCGUACUGAGAAAACUUUUUGAAGAAGUUUAUAUUCUCAAAGAUGUUUAAGAAAAUGUUACUUCAUUAAAAAAAAAAAAAACACAGGCAAUCAUAAAAUAGAAUAGGCAUUCACUCUUACCCUUCAUUAUGUUACAUGUAUGUAACGUAUAAUAUGUAUAAAUGCACACACAUACAUACACACAUCAAUAGGAGGCUUCUGUCUUUUGUACAGUCUGGAAUCAUUCAAAUAAACAUAGGCAUUAUCCAUUGUAAUAUAUUGAACUCAGCUGUAAAACCAUUUGAGCCUAUUUCCUUUUUUAAAAUACUAGCUCUGUAAUUAUCAUUUCAGUCCUUUCUGUGUCUGUCCUGGUUUUUUAACUCUUCCUGGAUCCUUUUCAGAAGUUAAUGUUUUAAUAGGAGCCCUUUUGUGCCCUCAAGAUCUUAAAAUAUAUUGCCACAUUGUUGCGCAUAAUAGUCUCUAAUAUUUCUUUAAAUCUCUUCCAUAUUUAUAUCUCCUUUCUUGUUACUAACAUGGCAUGAUGUUGCUUGCUUGCUUUUUAUUUCACCAGAAUCAGCAGAGAAAAAACUAUUUUAUUAGCCCUUUGAAGUAACAACUUUUGGUUUUAUUUAUCUCUUCAAACCCUUCCGUCAUUUUCUAGUGAAUCAAUAUAAACUUAUCUUCCCUAAUACCCACCUCUUGCUUUCCUUUGGUUUAUUUUGGAUUUUUUAAAAAUUUGUGAGAUAUAUGCUUUGUUCAUUAGCUUGGUGUCUUUAUUUUUAUUAAAGAUAAUGUCGUGUACAACUAUACAAUUUUCUAGGUAUUUUAGUCAUGACCCACAGAUUUUGCUAAUGAAAUAUUUUAUUUUUAUUAUUUUUGAGAAAACUUGUUGGCUGGGCAUGGUGGCUCACACCUGUAAUCCCAGCACUUUGGGAGGCCAAGGCGGGCGGAUCACAAGAUCAGGAGAUCCAGACCAUCCUGGCUAACACGAUAAAACCCCCCUCUACUAAAAAUCCAAAAAAAUUAGCUGGGCAUGGUGGAGGGCACCUGUAGUCCCAGCUACUUGGGAGGCUGAGGCAGGAGAAUGGCGUGAACCCAGGAGGCGGAGCUUGCCAUGAGCAGAGAUCGUGCCACUGUACUCCAGCCUGGGUGACAGAGUGAGACUCCAUCUCCAGAAACAAAAAACAAAAAAAAAGAAAACUUGUUUUUUUAGAUAUGAUCUGGUUAAUGGGUUAUUUGUGAGAGUGUUUUUUUAAUUUAUGCAAAAAUCGCUUUUGGUCCAUUUUGGUUUCAUUGUUCAUUUCUAGUUGCACUGAAUUAUGAUAAAAGAAUGUGGUCUAUAAACUUUGCACUUUGGGUAAAUUAUUAAAGUUUUCUUUUGGUCAAGUACAUCAUUGAACUUUUGUAAGUGUUCCAUAAGCAUAAGAAAAAAAUAACCUUUUCUUGUCAUAGAAAGACAUGUUGUCUCUAUCAGUGUGUUUCUGCAAGCGUGUGUGCACUGAAUAGCCGAAUUUUAAUUGUAUAUUACUUUAUAGCUUGUGUUGUUCAAACACUAGAUAAACCUACUUAUAUUUUGCUAUUUAAUUUGUCCAAUUUGAAAGGAGUACAUUAAAAUUUCCAUUUGCAAAUUUCCAAAUUUCCAUUUUGGAAAUUGGAAUUUCCGUUUUUCAUUUUGAAAUUUACUGUUUCCAAAAUGCAAUUAUAAGAAGAAAUAAUUGCAUAUUUAAAUAAAUCUCGCUUUGCCUUUUUAGUAGUUCUUCAGACAUUCUAAUAUUUAAUAAAUGGUGCUAGCAUGAUUUGCUGUCCAUUCUAGACAAAAGCAAAGCCAGGCUCAGCCCAUAUGCAGCAAUUAAUUGCACAUGGAUUAAAUAUGUCUAUGUAAAAUAAAAGCACUAGAAGAAGUUUCAGGAGAAUGUAGCUCUAGGGAUCUUUCCAAGCAAGCCUAUAGAAAUCAAGAAUCCAUAAAGACACUUUUUGCCACAUAAAAUUUUUAACUAUUUAUAUGGCAAAAAGUUGCAAAGUCAAAAGGCAAAUGUCAAUGGGUAUAAUGGCAAAGGUUUCCAGAAAAAUCCCCUUGUGAGCCUGGGCCCUUCCUUUAUAGCCCAUAUUGCAAUGAGACUUUCUCUCUUUCAUCACAUUAAAUUGUUAAGAAACAAUUUGAAUUGUUUCUUAAAUUAGUUGAAACCUGUAAGACUUAAAUAUACAGGCUUGUAUACUAGCAGUCCCCAGCCUUCUUGGCACCAGGGACUGGUUUCGUGGAAGUUAUUUUUUCCAUGAACUGGGGGUCGGUGGGGGGAUAGUUUGGGGAUAAUUCAAGCACAUUACAUUUAUUGUGCACUUUAUUUCUAUUAUUAUUACAUUGUAAUAUAUGAUAACAUAAUUAUACAACUCAUCAUAAAUGUAGAAUCAGUGGGAGGCCUGAACUUGUUUUCCUACAACUAGAUAGUCCCAUCUGGGAGUGAUGGGAGACAGUGACAGAUCAUCAGGCAUUAGAUUCUCAUAAGGGGCACACGACCUAGAUCCUUCGCAUGUGUAGUUCACAAUGGGGUUCGCCUCCUAUGAGAAUCUAAUGGCACCACUGAUGUGACAGGAGGCGGAGCUCAGGCAGUAAUGCCCACUUGUCCACCACUCACCUCCCACCGUGCAGCUUAGUACCUAACAGGCCACGGACCAGUACCAGUCCACAGCCUGGGGGUGGGGGAAUCCCUGUUGUAUACCUUGAUUAGCAACAAUCUGUAUUUAUGUAUACAUGUUGUGUUUGAAACUUAAGACAGUGGUUACCCUUUACCAGAUCAUUUCAAAGAACCAAUGGGUGACUUGGGCCUGGGCAGUCCUGCCUCUGAAGGCCCAGCAGUCUCUGAAGAAUUCCAUGCAGCUUCAAAGUAGAAAAGCUAACAAAAGUCAGGGUCCUUCAGCCCAUCUCAAGAGCUGAGAGGGAUGACCUAACACACACCAAGUUCCUGCUGAUGACUUUUGUACCAGCAGAGGACUACGGGAGUAAUUGGUAAGAGGGGGAAAAAUAUCCAUUCCUUAGAACAUACAGACUCUGAGAAACACAAUCAAGGCCCUUAAAAGUUGCUUGAUACAACUCUUAAAAUAUGCUGGAUCAGAUAGAUUGUGGUGGAAUUUUAACAAACUUUGAAAAACAGAUUACAUCUCUGCUAUAUAAAUUGUGGUAGAGGAGGGUGGGGGAAAUCCCAUUUUAGGAAGCUAGCAUGACUCUGAGACAAAAAUCUAGUAAAAAGCACAAAAUAUGAAACUAGUAACCUGCCUAGUUUCCAAUAUGGCGUCAGCAUGGUGAGAAGUUGUAACACUUUACUCUGCGUAGAGUUAGGGAUCCUCUCCUUUCCGCCCCGUAUGACUAGGAAUAAGAAAGAUGGCAUUGAAGCCUGCUGUUUUUUGUACUCAGACUCGUGAGUCUAGUUUCUACAUAUAAAAGUCACUCACAGGAAAAAAUAGAAUCUGUUCUUAGACAUUGGAAAUAGACAGUGAGUCUUCAAUCAAACUAACAGAACUAGUAAAAUCCUGACAAUUCAAAUGACAGACAAAUGGUGAAUCUCCCAAAAUCAAAAAAGGGCCUAUAGAUCAGAAAGGAAAGGACAAGGUAACAGAAACAUGUGCCAAGUCUAUAACAAGCAAGCUACAGAAUAGAAAACUACAAAUGACCAAUAGGUGUAUUAAAAGAUGCUCACAUUACUAGUGAUCAAGAAAACACAAAUAAAGCAACAAGAUGUUCCCAUUUUUCCCCCUCAAAACUGGCAUAAAUUAAAUAAGCUAUGAGAUCUAGUGCUGCAGAAAAUUUGAAUGGGCACUCUUGUACAUUGUUGGUAUGAGUAUAAAUUAGUACAACAUCCUUGCAAAAUGUUCUGGCAAUAUCCACUGAACAUUAGAAUAUAUAGAUGUUUGUCCCCACAAUCUCACACUGAGGGAUCUAAUCUAUAAAAAUAAAAGCACCAGUGAGAUUAGAGUUACAGUGUCAUUAAUUACAGCAUCAUUUUUUUACAUACAUCUUGGAAACAACCUGAGUGUCAUUAAUUAGGGGACUGCUUAAAUCAAGCAUGAUUCAAUUGUAUUGGGGAAUACUAUUCAGGCAUUAAAAA
ensembl:lncRNA